rnacentral:lncRNA from 1 species
UUAUAUCUCUAUGAAUAAUUCGACACUUUGUGUUUUCGUGCAGGUAGACUAAUCCCUCUGCCGUCCCUAUAAUUAUCUCAAAUCUCUUCUCCCAGUUAAGUGCUUUACCUUUAUUUGCAUCUGUGACAUCAGUUAAAUAAUGUAGUUUGUCAUUUAACUCCAGAACAACAUUAAUGUAAUAUGGACCAAAUGCUCUGUUACGAUCAACAAUGUCUUGUCUUAAGAAGCUCUUGAAGUUAAAUUUACUGUCUAAUCCCUUGAUAUAUAAUCUAUACUUACCAAAAAUAAAGCGGUCAAGACUCUUAUUUGGAAGGAAUUCAUAUACAAGAAGGCUUUCAGGUCCUGAACAGCUGCAUCCCAACAACCUGACCAAAUUCUUGUGCUCAACGCUACUAAUAAUGUUAACUUCAUUGUAGAAAUCUGCUGCUCUGUGUUUGUUAUUGAAGAAAAGCCUCUUAACAGCAAUCUCUCUUCCAUCUGGUAAAACUCCCUGUACAAAUGAUGAAACUUAGGCAUAAACCCGAAAUAAUACAAAUGGUGUUUGAUUAGAUGUUGUAUGCAUUUGUGGUUGAAGAGAGAAUUGUGCUUUAGUCAUUUACCUUGUAGACGGUUCCAAAUCCACCUUGCCCCAGCUUAUUGGCUUCAUCAAAUGAACCAGUGGCUUUCUCAAGAGUGGAGUAUUUGAAGUUCAAGCUGCUAUCAUGAAGAGUUUUCACCAAUUUCUCCGCAUCAUUUGAGCCUUAAAAGAGUUGCAAGAGAUUUCAAGCACAAUCAACUUACAGUCAGAGUGAGUGCAUAUUUUGUAUCGAGUUACAUCACUUCUGUUGCUAUUCUAAACAUUAUCACAUGACCAACUGCUCUACAGUCAAUGUAAAAUGUUUAGUAGCGAAAAAUUACAUGUAAAUUUGGUUCUCCUAUUUCAUUAAUUGGAAGCAAUAACCAGUGGCUUUCAAAACUGGCGCAUGCCAUAUGAUGACAUAUGAAGUUGACCUACCUUUUCGCUUCUUCUGUAUUCUUUUGUUCUUCCAGAAAUAGGCUCCAAUGAUUGCUCCCACGGCCAAAACAAUUGCAGAACUCACUGCAGCAACAACAAUGACUACAACUGUCCCUGCAAAUAUUGUCAUUAAGAAAUCAAGAUCACCAUGAGUAGGAACAUCACCCGCUUUUGAUUCUAAA